rnacentral:rRNA from 1 species
UACAGGGGGGGCAAGCGUUGUUCGGAAUUACUGGGCGUAAAGGGCACGUAGGUGGCCAACUAAGUCAGACGUGAAAUCCCUCAGCUUAACUGGGGAACUGCGUCUGAUACUGGAUGGCUUGAGUUUGGGAGAGGGAUGCGGAAUUCCAGGCGUAGCGGUGAAAUGCGUAGAUAUCUGGAGGAACACCGGUGGCGAAGGCGGCAUCCUGGACCAACACUGACACUGAGGAGCGAAAGCCAGGGGAGCAAACGGG